CAAGCGGCUUCCUUGGAAAACACCGGCCGUAUUGCGUCCCCAAUAAAACCGCACCGCGCUUAACCCCACAAUAUUAAAACGACUAUGAGUCUUUUUGCCAUUUGUAUCAUCAUAGUAAACUUCAGUGGCAACUGUGCUCCAUUUGGUUACGAGCAGAUCUGUCGUAAAUGGAAAUCCUGGUCACGCCCUAGCUCGCAAAAAUGGAUUCAACAAUUGUGGAUAGUUAGUGGCCAACCAAAUAAGGUUACCCAAGGACUUUGCGCAUUGUCGAGUUCGGUCGAAGGUACUUCCUGCACGCAAACUAAAUACCAUUGUACGAUUUUGUAAAAUCGUCUCAUUCUCUCUUCGCGAGUGUCGCACGUGAAGCAUCUUUAAACUAUUGUACAAAGAAAGACACUUACUGACCAUGUAGUCCAAUGGCUGUUUACCACAAACGGGUAUGAACGCGAUCUAUUCGA